CGUGCGGUAGUCGAUGCGGUGGCCGCCGGCCUCGAUAGCCGGGUGCGCCGGUGCGUCGCGCGCGAUGCGUUCGAUCCGCGCGAGCACGUC
rnacentral:tRNA from 1 species